CAGUAGCCGCGGUAAUACGAAGGGUGCAAGCGUUAAUCGGAAUUACUGGGCGUAAAGCGUGCGUAGGCGGUGAGUUAAGUCCGCUGUGAAAUCCCCGGGCUCAACCUGGGAAUGGCAGUGGAUACUGGCUCGCUAGAGUGUGUCAGAGGAUGGUGGAAUUCCCGGCGUAGCGGUGAAAUGCGUAGAGAUCGGGAGGAACAUCAGUGGCGAAGGCGGCCAUCUGGGACAACACUGACGCUGAGGCACGAAGGCGUGGGGAGCAAACAGGAUUAGAUACCCCCGUAGUCCCUGUCUCUUAUAC
rnacentral:rRNA from 1 species